UCCUUGGUAGUAUAGUGGUAAGUAUCUCCGCCUGUCACGCGGAAGACCGGGGUUCGAUUCCCCGCCAACGUG
rnacentral:tRNA from 1 species